GUAUAGUAUGUUUAUUGCUUGAACAGAGCUGGGUUUCUGACAUAAAGGUGAACUUCACAGAGGAUUAAGUGUUUGUUGGAAGAUACCAAUCACUUUAAAUGGAUAUUGAUGCUCUUCAAGUUUCAUCUAGUGCCACAGGGCGAAAUUCUCUCCUACGGGUACCAACAAUGAAAAGGAAGACUUGAAAUGACCUGUGUGAUAUUGGUCUCAGUAACGAAUUAGAAGGAGUAACUUUUAAUCGCACUAAGAUUAGGGUUUUCAGGACAGAUUUCACGGAAUAAAACAAAAAAAGCUACACCAAAACAAAACGAGCGUGCAGUAAAUGGAAUAAUGGAAAAAUACAUGAUUAAAGAUAAAUUGUUCGAUUGUCAACAUAGGCAACACUGCUUUGUUAUGAUCAACAAGAAAACUUUGAGG